ACAACACGAUUAAAGUUAUUUUCUCUAAAUGAUGCAUCAUGUAUAUCAAACUUAUACUUGAUCCUAUAAAACAGUGUAAGUUUUACUUACUGAGCUGUAUACCUUAUAUAUAUCUAGCUAUUUUUCUUUUCUCUUUCUAGACAAAGAGAUCCGCGCUUAGAAUUCAUGCUAGUAAACUUGGCGAUUUUGUAGCAAAAUUUUAAUUCUUUAAUUGAUGAUAAAUUCAUGGCC
rnacentral:lncRNA from 1 species